GUUGUAUGGUUAAGUGACUAAGCGUACACGGUGGAUGCCUUGGCAGUCAGAGGCGAUGAAGGACGUAUUAACUUGCGAUAAGCCCAGAUUAGGCAGUAAAAGCCACUUGAGUCUGGGAUUUCCGAAUGGGGAAACCCAACUGCAUAAGCAGUUACUGUUAACUGAAUACAUAGGUUAACAGGGCGAACCGGGGGAACUGAAACAUCUAAGUACCCCGAGGAAAAGAAAUCAACCGAGAUUCCGAAAGUAGCGGCGAGCGAAAUUGGACUAGCCCUUAAGCUUUACACGCGUUAGACGAACGGUCUGGAAAGUCCGACGAUACAGGGUGAUAGUCCCGUAGUUGACGACGUGUGUUCAGUGAAAUCGAGUAGGGCGGGACACGUGAUAUCCUGUCUGAAUAUGGGGGGACCAUCCUCCAAGGCUAAAUACUACUGACUGACCGAUAGUGAACCAGUACCGUGAGGGAAAGGCGAAAAGAACCCCUGUGAGGGGAGUGAAAUAGAACCUGAAACCGUGUACGUACAAGCAGUAGGAGCAGGCUUUGUCCUGUGACUGCGUACCUUUUGUAUAAUGGGUCAGCGACUUAUAUUCAGUGGCAAGGUUAACCAUCUAGGGGAGCCGUAGGGAAACCGAGUCUUAACUGGGCGUUCAGUCUCUGGAUAUAGACCCGAAACCAGGUGAUCUAGCCAUGGGCAGGUUGAAGGUUGAGUAACAUCAACUGGAGGACCGAACCGACUAAUGUUGAAAAAUUAGCGGAUGACUUGUGGCUAGGGGUGAAAGGCCAAUCAAACCUGGAGAUAGCUGGUUCUCCCCGAAAGCUAUUUAGGUAGCGCCUCGGACGAAUACUACUGGGGGUAGAGCACUGUUAAGGCUAGGGGGUCAUCCCGACUUACCAACCCUUUGCAAACUCCGAAUACCAGUAAGUACUAUCCGGGAGACACACGGCGGGUGCUAACGUCCGUCGUGGAGAGGGAAACAACCCAGACCGCCAGCUAAGGUCCCAAAUUACUACUAAGUGGGAAACGAUGUGGGAAGGCUCAGACAGCCAGGAUGUUGGCUUAGAAGCAGCCAUCAUUUAAAGAAAGCGUAAUAGCUCACUGGUCGAGUCGGCCUGCGCGGAAGAUGUAACGGGGCUAAGUAGUAAACCGAAGCUGCGGCAAUGUGCUUU
rnacentral:rRNA from 1 species